UACGAAGGGGGCUAGCGUUGCUCGGGAAUCACUGGGCGUAAAGCGCACGUAGGCGGAUCUUUUAAGUCAGGGGUGAAAUCCUGGAGCUCAACUCCAGAACUGCCUCUGAUACUGGGGAUCUUGAGUCCGGAAGAGGUAAGUGGAACUGCGAGUGUAGAGGUGAAAUUCGUAGAUAUUCGCAAGAACACCGGUGGCGAAGGCGGCUCACUGGGCUCAUUACUGACGCUCAGGCGCGAUAGCGUGGGGAUCAAACAGG
rnacentral:rRNA from 1 species